rnacentral:lncRNA from 1 species
UUUUCUUUUUUUUUUUUUUGAAACACUUUUCAAAAGAGCUGUCAUAAGUCCCCAAUCCUUCAGGCGGGCUCCAUCUUUCCCCAGCAGGCUCCUAAAUCUCCAUCACCCAUGAUCCCACAGUUCUAUGAUCUACUUACAUGUGUGUCUGAACUCGACAAUUAGCCUUUACAUCUGAUUGCUAUAGUCCUGGAGUGGUGGCCCAGGGCCUUUCUUAUGCCUACCAGAGGACCAAGAAACCCUUGCUAAGUGGAACAGAAUUGCACGAUUGUUUUCUUUAUAUGGUUAAACUAAUUAAAUAGUGUAUUUUAAGAUACAAGCUUUCUUCCUUACUCAGACUAGUUUUUUGUUUUGUUUUUUUGUAAAUGCAACUAAAUUGAAACAAUGACUCAUAAACCAUGAGCCUGGGAGAAAAUCUUUGAGAGUACCUCUCUCAAACCUUCAUUUAUUAACUGUACCCAUUUCCUCAAUGUUACUGUGUUCGCCCAGAAGAGGAGACUGAGGUCCAGCUAAGUGACAAUGUCAAGAGUGCACAGUCGUUAGUGAAAGAGUGGAGGCCAGGACUUGGGCUUUCUGACUCCUGACGUAGUGCUCACUUUGCCUGCCAUGCUGCAGCAGCACCAAUCAGUUUAGGGAGUGUAAUUCCAAGUGCUGCAGUUUUCCAUGAAAACAUCUGCGAUGUGCAAAAAGGCUGGGGUUUCUUGAACUUUUCAGUUCUCUAGGAUUUUUAUGAAAUUAAAAAUAAAGUCACAAGCCAUAAAGUUUCCCCGUGAUUGUUUUCUCCUAAACUGUCAUGUUCGACGGCAGAACAUUUGUUCUGGUUUCAUCUCAUAAACUGGAGAAUCCACUAACGAUAACUAAAGAAGCCACCAGGUUUCUAAUAGAAAAUAUAAUCCAUUUAACAAAAAGUCAGAAUCCAUACCUACUGCUAUUUGGAUGGUGUCUAAACAAAUAAGCAGCUGCAGACCAAGGCAAGGGCUUUGAACUGUGCACUCCUCCCACCUCCGAUAUUAGCUGAAAUCGGAUGCCAACUGUAUCCAAGGUGGAGACUCAAUAUAAUUGGAACUUGCAAAAUUUGGUAAUAGAUUCUAAUUUAGAGUGUGUGGACUAUAACAUACAGGUAGGAGUUAUUCAGAACUGGGAAGGACAUAGCUCCACAUACUCACUGUCAUAACCUGAAAUGUCUAACCACAUCCAGAGAAGGUUUGUUCUGCAACAAGGAAAGACACAUAAGCUUUGGAGCUUAGAUGGGCCAGGGUUUAAAUUCUGAUUCUAUCACUUCACAUCUCUGUGAAUUAGGAACUAAUCUAUCCUCACUGAACCUGUUACCGCUUGGGUAAAAUAGUAAUAACAAUACGCUUCCCAUAGGGUUUCGGAAGAUAACAUAGGGAAAAAAAAUGUAAAUGCGCCUGGUACAAUGGUUGGCACGUAGCAGGUGAAGCCGCAGUCAAGCGAAUGUGGAUAAAAUGA